rnacentral:rRNA from 1 species
CACAUGCAAGUCGAACGGCAGCACGGAGAGCUUGCUCUCUGGUGGCGAGUGGCGAACGGGUGAGUAAUAUAUCGGAACGUGUCCAAUAAUGGGGGAUAACGAGUCGAAAGAUUCGCUAAUACCGCAUACGCCCUACGGGGGAAAGCAGGGGAUCGUAAGACCUUGCGUUAAUGGAGCGGCCGAUAUCUGAUUAGCUUGUUGGUGAGGUAAAGGCUCACCAAGGCGACGAUCAGUAGCUGGUUUGAGAGAACGACCAGCCACACUGGAACUGAGACACGGUCCAGACUCCUACGGGAGGCAGCAGUGGGGAAUUUUGGACAAUGGGGGCAACCCUGAUCCAGCCAUUCCGCGUGAGUGAAGAAGGCCUUCGGGUUGUAAAGCUCUUUCGCAAGGGAAGAAAACUUAUGAUCGAAUAAAUCAUGAGGUUGACGGUACCUUGAUAAGAAGCACCGGCUAACUACGUGCCAGCAGCCGCGGUAAUACGUAGGGUGCGAGCGUUAAUCGGAAUUACUGGGCGUAAAGCGUGCGCAGGCGGUUUUGUAAGUCGGAUGUGAAAUCCCCGGGCUCAACCUGGGAACUGCGUUCGAAACUGCAAGGCUAGAGUGUGUCAGAGGGGGGUAGAAUUCCACGUGUAGCAGUGAAAUGCGUAGAGAUGUGGAGGAAUACCAAUGGCGAAGGCAGCCCCCUGGGAUAACACUGACGCUCAUGCACGAAAGCGUGGGGAGCAAACAGGAUUAGAUACCCUGGUAGUCCACGCCCUAAACGAUGUCAACUAGUUGUUGGUAGAGUAAAAUCUAUGAGUAACGUAGCUAACGC